rnacentral:rRNA from 1 species
GCUCAGGACGAACGCUGGCGGCGUGCUUAACACAUGCAAGUCGAACGGAAAGGCCCUUCGGGGUACUCGAGUGGCGAACGGGUGAGUAACACGUGGGUGAUCUGCCCUGCACNNUGGGAUAAGCCUGGGAAACUGGGUCUAAUACCGAAUAGGAUCAUGGCCUGCAUGGGUUGUGGUGGAAAGCUUUUGCGGUGUGGGAUGGGCCCGCGGCCUAUCAGCUUGUUGGUGGGGUAAUGGCCUACCAAGGCGACGACGGGUAGCCGGCCUGAGAGGGUGACCGGCCACACUGGGACUGAGAUACGGCCCAGACUCCUACGGGAGGCAGCAGUGGGGAAUAUUGCACAAUGGGCGCAAGCCUGAUGCAGCGACGCCGCGUGAGGGAUGACGGCCUUCGGGUUGUAAACCUCUUUCAGUAGGGACGAAGCGCAAGUGACGGUACCUAUAGAAGAAGGACCGGCCAACUACGUGCCAGCAGCCGCGGUAAUACGUAGGGUCCGAGCGUUGUCCGGAAUUACUGGGCGUAAAGAGCUCGUAGGUGGUUUGUCGCGUUGUUCGUGAAAACUCACAGCUCAACUGUGGGCGUGCGGGCGAUACGGGCAGACUUGAGUACUGCAGGGGAGACUGGAAUUCCUGGUGUAGCGGUGGAAUGCGCAGAUAUCAGGAGGAACACCGGUGGCGAAGGCGGGUCUCUGGGCAGUAACUGACGCUGAGGAGCGAAAGCGUGGGGAGCGAACAGGAUUAGAUACCCUGGUAGUCCACGCCGUAAACGGUGGGUACUAGGUGUGGGUUUCCUUCCUUGGGAUCCGUGCCGUAGCUAACGCAUUAA